UACGAAGGGGGCGAGCGUUGUUCGGAUUUACUGGGCGUAAAGGGCGCGCAGGCGGUUCUGUUUGUCGAGUGUGAAAGCCCCGGGCUCAACCUGGGAACUGCGCUCGAAACGGCGGAACUAGAGUUCGGGAGAGGAGAGUGGAAUUCCCAGUGUAGAGGUGAAAUUCGUAGAUAUUGGGAAGAACACCGGUGGCGAAGGCGGCCAACUGGACCAUUACUGACGCUGAGGCGCGAAAGCGUGGGGAGCAAACAGG
rnacentral:rRNA from 1 species